UGGGGAAUAUUGCGCAAUGGGGGGAACCCUGACGCAGCCAUGCCGCGUGAAUGAAGAAGGCCUUCGGGUUGUAAAGUUCUUUCGGCAUUGAGGAAGGUUGAUGUGUUAAUAGCACAUCAAAUUGACGUUAAAUACAGAAGAAGCACCGGCUAACUCCGUGCCAGCAGCCGCGGUAAUACGGAGGGUGCGAGCGUUAAUCGGAAUAACUGGGCGUAAAGGGUACGCAGGCGGUUAUUUAAGUGAGGCGUGAAAGCCCCGGGCUUAACCUGGGAAUUGCAUUUCAGACUGGGUAACUAGAGUACUUUAGGGAGGGGUAGAAUUCCACGUGUAGCGGUGAAAUGCGUAGAGAUGUGGAGGAAUACCGAAGGCGAAGGCAGCCCCUUGGGAAUGUACUGACGCUCAUGUGCGAAAGCGUGGGGAGCAAACAGGAUUAGAUACCCUGGUAGUCCACGCUGUAAACGCUGUCGAUUUGGGGGUUGGGGUUUAACUCUGGCGCCCGUAGCUAACGUGAUAAAUCGACCGCCUGGGGAGUACGGCCGCAAGGUUA
rnacentral:rRNA from 1 species